rnacentral:rRNA from 1 species
UACGUAGGGCGCAAGCGUUGUCCGGAAUUAUUGGGCGUAAAGAGCUCGUAGGCGGUCUGUUGCGUCCGCUGUGAAAACCCGGGGCUUAACCCUGGGCUGGCAGUGGAUACGGGCAGACUAGAGGUAGGUAGGGGAGAAUGGAAUUCCCGGUGUAGCGGUGAAAUGCGCAGAUAUCGGGAGGAACACCGGUGGCGAAGGCGGUUCUCUGGGCCGUACCUGACGCUGAGGAGCGAAAGCGUGGGGAGCGAACAGG